CGGAGGACGUGACUGCGGCCGAUUAGGUAGACGGUGGGGUAACGGCCCACCGUGCCGAUAAUCGGUACGGGUUGUGAGAGCAAGAACCCGGAGACGGUAUCUGAGACAAGAUCCCGGGCCCUACGGGGCGCAGCAGGCGCGAAACCUUUACACUGCACGCCAGUGCGAUAAGGGGACCCCGAGUGCGAGGGCAUACAGUCCUCGCUUUUCGUGACCGUAAGAAGGUCUCAGAAUAAGAGCUGGGCAAGACCGGUGCCAGCCGCCGCGGUAAUACCGGCAGCUCGAGUGAUAGCCACUAUUAUUGGGCCUAAAGCGUCCGUAGCCGGCCGAACAGGUCCGUCGGGAAAUCCACCUGCUCAACAGGUGGACGUCCGGCGGAAACCAGUCGGCUUGGGGCCGGGAGACCAGAGAGGUACGUCCGGGGUAGGAGUGAAAUCCCGUAAUCCUGGACGGACCGCCGGUAGCGAAAGCGUCUCUGGAGAACGGACCCGACGGUGAGGGACGAAAGCUUGGGUCUCGAACCGGAUUAGAUACCCGGGUAGUCCAAGCUGUAAACGAUGCUCGCUAGGUGUGGCGUUGGCUACGAGCCAGCGCUGUGCCGUAGGGAAGCCGAGAAGCGAGCCGCCUGGGAAGUACGUCCGCAAGGAUGAAACUUA
rnacentral:rRNA from 1 species